CUUGGUCAUUUAGAGGAAGUAAAAGUCGUAACAAGGUUUCCGUAGGUGAACCUGCGGAAGGAUCAUUACUGAACUGUCAACACGAGUUGUUGCUGGCCCUCAAAUGGGGGCAUGUGCACGCUCUGUUUACACAUCCACUCACACCUGUGCACCCUCUGUAGUUCUAUGGCGUGGGGGGCCCUGCCCUCCUGCUGUGGUUCUAUGUCUUUACACACACACACUGUGAUGAAGUUUCAUGGAAUGUACAUCGCGUUUAACGCAAUACAAUACAACUUUCAGCAACGGAUCUCUUGGCUCUCGCAUCGAUGAAGAACGCAGCGAAAUGCGAUAAGUAGUGUGAAUUGCAGAAUUCAGUGAAUCAUCGAAUCUUUGAACGCACCUUGCGCCCUUUGGCUAUUCCGAAGGGCAUGCCUGUUUGAGUAUCAUGAACACCUCAACUCUCGUGGUUUUGCCAUGAUGAGCUUGGACUUUGGGGGUCUUGCUGGCCUAUGGUCAGCUCCUCUUAAAUGAAUCAGCUUGCCAGUGUUUGGUGGCAUCGCAGGUGUGAUAACUAUCUACGCUUGUGGUUUUCCAUCAAGUAACCUUCACCAAUGGAGGUUCACUGGGGCUCAUAAAGGCCUCUCCUCAGUGAGGAUGGCUCCUUUGAAGUUG
rnacentral:rRNA from 1 species